AUGUGUGUGAGAGAGAGGGGGAGAGGGAGAAGGGGGGAGGGGGAAAGAGAGAGACUUAAGUGUAUGCUUAUGAGAGAGAGAGAGUUUUUUUUUUACAAAGAGAAAGAGCGGCGUACUAUAUUUGAUUUCUUUUAUUUUUUAGAGAUAGAAAUGUGAACUAAUUAGGUUUCAAAUAUAGGACGAAAUGUGAAACAAUUAGGUUUCAAAUAUAGGACUUCAGUACCAACCAUCAAACUCUUGGAGCGAUUUUAUUUUUUUUUAGAGAGAGAUAAAAAAAAAGGUAGCACUCUACCUGCUUCGUUCAUUUGUUUAGAAAUAAACUUAACUAAAAAUAUGAAGCAACUAGAUUUUAAACUUAAGAUCUCGAAUAUCAAUCAUUAAAGUAUUUGCCAACUGCACUAACAAUGAUUGACAAGAGAGAGUUAUUACAUGUAUGUAUAUGAGAGAGAGAGAGAGAGAGAGAGAGAGAUGAAGAAGGGGAGAAAGAAAGGGGGAAGGGG
rnacentral:lncRNA from 1 species